UGUCACUUACAGAUGGACCCGCGGCGCAUUAGCUAGUUGGUGGGGUAAUGGCUCACCAAGGCGACGAUGCGUAGCCGACCUGAGAGGGUGAUCGGCCACACUGGGACUGAGACACGGCCCAGACUCCUACGGGAGGCAGCAGUAGGGAAUCUUCCGCAAUGGACGAAAGUCUGACGGAGCAACGCCGCGUGAGUGAUGAAGGUUUUCGGAUCGUAAAGCUCUGUUGUUAGGGAAGAACAAGUGCGAGAGUAACUGCUCGCACCUUGACGGUACCUAACCAGAAAGCCACGGCUAACUACGUGCCAGCAGCCGCGGUAAUACGUAGGUGGCAAGCGUUGUCCGGAAUUAUUGGGCGUAAAGGGCUCGCAGGCGGUUUCUUAAGUCUGAUGUGAAAGCCCCCGGCUCAACCGGGGAGGGUCAUUGGAAACUGGGAAACUUGAGUGCAGAAGAGGAGAGUGGAAUUCCACGUGUAGCGGUGAAAUGCGUAGAGAUGUGGAGGAACACCAGUGGCGAAGGCGACUCUCUGGUCUGUAACUGACGCUGAGGAGCGAAAGCGUGGGGAGCGAACAGGAUUAGAUACCCUGGUAGUCCACGCCGUAAACGAUGAGUGCUAAGUGUUAGGGGGUUUCCGCCCCUUAGUGCUGCAGCUAACGCAUUAAGCACUCCGCCUGGGGAGUACGGUCGCAAGACUGAAACUCAAAGGAAUUGACGGGGGCCCGCACAAGCGGUGGAGCAUGUGGUUUAAUUCGAAGCAACGCGAAGAACCUUACCAGGUCUUGACAUCCUCUGACAACCCUAGAGAUAGGGCUUUCCCUUCGGGGACAGAGUGACAGGUGGUGCAUGGUUGUCGUCAGCUCGUGUCGUGAGAUGUUGGGUUAAGUCCCGCAACGAGCGCAACCCUUGAUCUUAGUUGCCAGCAUUCAGUUGGGCACUCUAAGGUGACUGCCGGUGACAAACCGGAGGAAGGUGGGGAUGACGUCAAAUCAUCAUGCCCCUUAUGACCUGGGCUACACACGUGCUACAAUGGACAGAACAAAGGGCUGCAAGACCGCAAGGUUUAGCCAAUCCCAUAAAUCUGUUCUCAGUUCGGAUCGCAGUCUGCAACUCGACUGCGUGAAGCUGGAAUCGCUAGUAAUCGC
rnacentral:rRNA from 1 species